ACCCUAAUGAAAAGUGCCAAAUAGUACGAAACUUAAGUCUAGGGU
rnacentral:hammerhead_ribozyme from 1 species